GACGCACAGUGCCCGCUUCGACUCGCCUCGCCAGCUGCGCGCCUCUGCCACGCGUCACAUCGCGGCCGGCAUGGCUCGCCGCCUGCGCCACGUCGGCGGCUGAUGUCGGCACGGGUUACGGCCCUGGCGGUGGAGAUGACGGAGACAUCGACGCGCGCCGUGAGACAGUCAGGGGGACGCGAUAGCUGCGAGAUGCGUGAGCCCGUGGCCACGCACCGCGGCGACUGCGGCUAGAGCCAUGCCACGCACAGACUCGGCUGCGUGGAGCCAUGUGGAGCAGCUCACCAGAACGGGGACUUCCCGCAGCUCGCAGGAGUUGGCCGGCCUCGCCAGCCAGUCCGUGGCCGCUGGGGCUGUGCGCGUGCG